rnacentral:rRNA from 1 species
GGUCAAGCUAAUUAGAGCUGACGGUGGAU